rnacentral:lncRNA from 1 species
UGCUGCAGGCAUAUCCAUGAACGAGCCCGGGGCUUGGUAAUGGAACUGAAGAAAUCUGAAUGAAUUGUCUGAUGCAUCGUGACUAAGCUUGGAAUGUGCCAACUGUCCCCCAGGAGUGGCCCUUGGACAGCAGAGCUGGAGCGCCGGGACUCUGAGUGCAGGAAGGAGGCCGUGCUCCAGGAGAGCCAUUGACAGAGCUGCUCUGGAGUUCUGGAAGUGCUUGGAGGGUGUGGGCGUUGUCACAUGAAUCUGUGGCACCAGCCUGUUGGCUUUCUGGUGAAGGGGUGGUGGCACAGUCUGCUGUCGUGCCUCUGGUGGUCCACACAACCUUCACACAACCUUCUUCAUUUCUGGUCAGCUUUGGAUACUCCCAAGCUUUGUCACUGAUCUCAUUUUGACUUACCAGGAAGCUCCACAUCUUGUUCUUUGUUAAUUUCAUGGAGGCUUGCAGGAUAACUCUCACUUUAUUUCCAUGAACGCUCCAUUUCAAGAAUGUUCAGGAAGACUUUCAUCACCUCUUUUGGGCCUCCACUUCCCUCCCACCUCCUUCCUACAUCUGUUCCUCUCUAGAGUGAAUGGUUUCAAUUUUAUCAACGUUUCUUCCUGUGGCUGUAUGUUUAGGUCCUUUCCCCAUGCUGAUCACCAAAUAUAAGAUUUAUUUAUAUCCUACCUAACAUGUACUCUUUAAAAAUCAGGUGCCCAUAAUAAUGAUAGUAGCUAGGAGCUUUUAUUGAGCUCAAACUAUCCAUGUACUUCAUGUUCAUAUUCUCUUUUAAUCUCACAAUCACCUUUUGAAGUUGAUAUUGUUACCUCCCACGUUAUCAAUGAGGACACUGAGAUUCUGGAAGGUUAAGUACCUCCCUUGCUCAAAGUUACACAGCAAACGAAGAGUAGAGCUGGGAUGAGACCUAGGAAUCUAGGCUCUGAGGCCCUCCACCCUGCUACUCAAAUUAUGGCCCAGAGACCAGCGGCACAGGCAGCCACCAGGGCCUUGUGAGAACUGCUCACUCUCACGCCCACAUCCAGACCUCCUGGAUCAGGAGGCUGGUGGUUCACAUACAUGCUUAAGUUGGAGCAGCUCUGGGUCUAGUCUCCUUGGAAGGAAAUGGGCCACUUUAAUUCCAUUGGUGCUGCCUUGGAGCAUGUUAGAUUUUGGUGUCACAGCCCCUUUUCUAUACCCUUAGUUGGUGCUGUCCUCAGGCUCAUCUUUGUCCUGCACAGGCCCUUCCUACAGGAGACACAUUUUCUCAGAAUGAUAGUAUGAUGGUUAAUUUUAUGAGUCAACUUGGCUAGGCCAUGGUACCCAGACAUUUGAUUAAACAUUAUUAUAGAUAUUUCUAUCAUAGUGUUUUUUAGAUGAGAUUAACAUUUAAAUCAGUGGACUGAGUAAAACCGAUUACCAUCCAUAACAUGGGUGAGCCUCCUCCAAUCAGUUGAAAGUCUUAAUAGAAAAACAAAACCAAAAAAACUGACUUCCCCCUUAAUAGAAAAAGACUGAAGAAGAAGGAUUUCUGCCAGAAAACUGCAUGUGGACUUGAACUACAACUCUUCCCUGGAUCUCCAACCUGCCAGCCUACCACAUUCAUGCUCUCUCUCUCUCUCUCUCUCUCUCUCUCUCUCUCUCUCUCUCCUGUUUCUUCUUUUUCUCUGGAGAACCGUAACACACCUUCUCUUUUCUGGAGUCAGAAUUCAGUUUUAAGUAGACUUGGCUCUAGGGGUCAGAGGAGAUGGAUGAAUACAGAGGGAAGCCUGGCUGAUGUUUGACCGAGGGACAACCCUUAUUUCUCUGAAGAAAUAGAUAGUGUUCCUCAUCCUAUAACUCUCACUGGGCUCUGUUCUGUAGAGAUGGACAGUGGUGUGCACCUGGGCUCUGACCUGUGUUAUGCAGUCGCAUCUCACAUGUUUACACCCAUGCCUGCUGCUCCCAUGGCUCUGGAUCCUCCUGGUACGUAUCUCGCUGGUGACCAAGCUUAAGGCACCUCCCAUUGGCUGAAACCAUCUGGAAGCCAGACACCAAGGAAACCUUCUUGAUGCA